UCUGAAGUCCACAAAAGAGGUCAAUCCUCCAC
rnacentral:piRNA from 1 species